GUAGGUGAACCUGCGGAAGGAUCAUUACAGUGUUCGCUGCCCUCACGGGUAGCAAACCUCACCCUUGUAUAUUAUAUCUUUGUUGCUUUGGCACGCCGCCUUCGGGUACCGGCUCCGGCUGGCUCGUGCGUGCCAUAGGACCUAAAACUCUGAAUGUUAGUGUCGUCUGAGUACUAUCUAAUAGUUAAAACUUUCAACAACGGAU
rnacentral:misc_RNA from 1 species